ACUCAUCUAUGUCUUUGUGACUUUUUCUGGUUUGGGAUAGAAGGUAUGCUUCAAUUUCUACAACAGAAACCAUUUCACCAUGACACCAUCCACUGAACUUUACCGGGACUUUUCAGUUUGAACAUUUUGGUGGCUGUCUCACCAUUCGUUUCAACCUCAACUAAGUCAACAACUGUCUCACUGACUCUCAGCACAUGCUCUCCCUCAUCUACCGGCUUCACCUCAUCAGAGACCAGUGUGGUGAAGAAGAAAACGCAAUACUCGAAGAGAAAACCAACUUAUGAUCCCUGAAUUUUUCACUUUUAACCCAAUAGCUUGUUGUUUUCAC